AUAUGUCACCUGCUUUAUACCCAACAUUAUUCCAUAAAAUGGUUUUCCUACCGAAAUUUCCUCCCUACAUACUCACCUGUAUUCUUCCUACUUAAUUAUCUAGUGGAUUUGUAAUCUAUCUAGCUGCUAAAUCCCAAAAGUUAUAAGAAUUACACAAUUUACCAGUCAAAUCAAAAAUAUAAGUUGGGGACUAACAUAGUAUCAAACCACUGGUAAUUUAAAUGCAAUAAAUAAGCUAGGAAACUUGAGCAAGUGCAGGUAGUUUACAAAAGAAGAAUUAGAGCAGAACUUACUUGUAAAUCGGAUCAGAGUCACCAGAGGUGGCAUGGAGAAGUCGGAAAACUGAAGAAAUCGCGGCAAGAAACAGAACCAAACGACAUUUUUCCAUAUCGGAAUCGUGAAGUGAAAGUCAAAAGGGAAAAAAAAAUUGAAGACUGAUUCAGAAAUGAAUCAAGGGAUGAAAGUAACAGGAGCUGACAUAGAGUGUUGAAUUUAUAUAUAGGAAUUAAUUGAAGAGAGGAGAUGUGAAAUGGAUGAACGACGUGAACACAACCAAGAGAGAGAAAGAGAAGAGAUGAGAGAGAAUGAGGAGAUUUUAUUUGAUGAGUUGAGUUUAUUGAGUGACAGGCAAAGGUGAGGAGGUGAGGUGAGGUGAGCGGAGACCAGAAUCUCGUGAUUAGCACUCUCCCUGGCGUUUCACGAGCAGCCACGUGGAGUAUCUUAGGUGGCGUUUCUUGGUAAAUUUUGAGGAACAGAUUUUUUGGUAUACACAAAAAAAAAUAGAGAGAAAUUUAAAAAUAGCCAGAUUUACAAAUUCAUUGAAAAAUAGCCAAGUUUUUAAAAGCUUCAAAGGUGAGGAGGUGAGGUGAGGUGAGCGGAGACCAGAAUCUCGUGAUUAGCACUCUCCCUGGCGUUUCACGAGCAGCCACGUGGAGUUCUUAGGUGGCG
rnacentral:lncRNA from 1 species